rnacentral:rRNA from 1 species
AAAAAGACUUGAUCUUCGGGUGACGAGCGGCGGACGGGUGAGUAAUGUCUGGGAAACUGCCUGAUGGAGGGGGAUAACUACUGGAAACGGUAGCUAAUACCGCAUAACGUCUUCGGACCAAAGAGGGGGACCUUCGGGCCUCUUGCCAUCAGAUGUGCCCAGAUGGGAUUAGCUAGUAGGUGAGGUAAUGGCUCACCUAGGCGACGAUCCCUAGCUGGUCUGAGAGGAUGACCAGCCACACUGGAACUGAGACACGGUCCAGACUCCUACGGGAGGCAGCAGUGGGGAAUAUUGCACAAUGGGCGCAAGCCUGAUGCAGCCAUGCCGCGUGUGUGAAGAAGGCCUUCGGGUUGUAAAGCACUUUCAGCGGGGAGGAAGGCGGUGAGAUUAAUACUCUCAUCGAUUGACGUUACCCGCAGAAGAAGCACCGGCUAACUCCGUGCCAGCAGCCGCGGUAAUACGGAGGGUGCAAGCGUUAAUCGGAAUGACUGGGCGUAAAGCGCACGCAGGCGGUUUGUUAAGUCAGAUGUGAAAUCCCCGAGCUUAACUUGGGAACUGCAUUUGAAACUGGCAAGCUAGAGUCUUGUAGAGGGGGGUAGAAUUCCAGGUGUAGCGGUGAAAUGCGUAGAGAUCUGGAGGAAUACCGGUGGCGAAGGCGGCCCCCUGGACAAAGACUGACGCUCAGGUGCGAAAGCGUGGGGAGCAAACAGGAUUAGAUACCCCUGGUAGUCCCACGCUGU